rnacentral:rRNA from 1 species
AGGCUUUGAUCCUGGCUCAGGAUGAACGCUGGCGGCGUGCUAACACAUGCAAGUCGAGCGAUUCUCUUAGGAGAAGAGCGGCGGACGGGUGAGUAACGCGUGGGUAACCCGCCCUGUACACACGGAUAACAUAUUGAAAGGUAUGCUAAUACGGGAUAACAUAUUUUGAUGGUAUUAUUGAAAUAUCAAAGUUUUGGUGGUAUAGGAUGGACCCGUGUCUGAUUAGUUAGUUGGUGAGGUAAUGGCUCACCAAGGUGACGAUCAGUAGCCGACCUGAGAGGGUGAUCGGCCACAUUGGAACUGAGACACGGUCCAAACUCCUACGGGAGGCAGCAGUGGGGAAUAUUGCACAAUGGGCGAAAGCCUGAUGCAGCAACGCCGCGUGAGCGAUGAAGGCCUUCGGGUCGUAAAGCUCUGUCCUCAAGGAAAGAUAAUGACGGUACUGUAGGAGGAAGCCCCGGCAACAU